UCAAGAAGAAGGAACUUUUUCCCCACCGCCAACACCCAAAGCUGGUAUUCUAAUUAAACUACUUCUUG
rnacentral:tRNA from 1 species